UAUGGAAGGUUUGAGGGCGAGUAUCUUGUUAAUCCAGUCAGGUCUGAAAAGAAGCAGCUGUACCAAGUCUAUUCGGGUCUUAUAACCUUCCCUUAAA
rnacentral:SRP_RNA from 1 species